UUGGACAAUCCAGAGGCCAUUAAAAGGCCCUCUAAUGUUUAAAGAAAAAAGAUCAGAAGUGGUACGAUAUAACAUGAUGCAGCAUACUAUACUUUUGGCUUGUUGACUGACCCCCUUUAUUUACUGCCCUUUGUAUUACCCUCUCACUGGACGGUAGUCUGGGCCGCCCCGUCCGUCAGUCCGUCCCCGCCCGGCAGCUGACGUCACCCACUCCCAGUGUGUUUAUUCUUUCUGGGCCUUGGUUCUGUCGCUAUCAGCCCACUGCCCCGCCUAUAAACCUUUUGCCUUUCCCUCACUUUUUCUCAUUGCAUUUACUCACUUUCUGCUUCUUCUUCUUCUUCUUCUCUCUCUUUCUCUCUGUGUGCAUGGAAGCGAUAGAAAAGCUUUCAAAGGUGAAAGUCAGGCUUAAGUUUCUUCAAGGCAAUCUUGAAUUUAAAAUCAUGCAUAAGAGCAUGAACCACGCCACCGUCUGCAACGCUUCAAGUAGUGGAUUUUUGGCCGGAUUCAAGUUUGAUGCUAAAAGUCCCUUUUUAAUGGUGGCUUGUUCACGAUAAUUGGGUGCUAUCCUACCUGAGCUUUUUCUAUCAUUUUUUUUUUGUUUUUAAGCUUCUUGACCUUGUAAGACCUUUUUUUAAUCUUAUAAGACCCCUUCUUACAUCCAUUGUAAACUCUAAAUCAGAAUUUCUUGAUUUAGAGUUUCAAAUUCAUUUUUUGCUGUUUUCACCCAACUCAUCUUCUCCUUCCUUGUCUAUCCCUCUUGAGCUGUUUGACUAAAAGUAAUAUAUCUAUUUUCAAAAUCCCCCCAAUUAAACAAUAAUUAGAAGCCUAAUGCAAGCCGUGGAGCCUUUGUUAUCUUUCUUACUCUAUUAAGGUAAUCAAUUUAUAUCGUUAUUAUUUCUGCAGAAGUAUGCUGUUGCAGGCAUCAGUUCGUUGCUUUAUGUGUUGUUGGCUGAGAAGCAAGAGAAUAAAUAUUCUCUCGGAUAUGUGUAAAGACUAAAGACUUCUCCCCGUGACUGCUUUCUCUUAUGUACAAACGUAUAUAUCCACUGUAUUAUUGGAGAGCUCCUCCCUCUCCCUCUCUCUCUCCUUAUCCCUAAGGACUUUUUGUACCAAGAAAGUUGUUAAUGAAAAAGCUGAUUACCCUACAGUGAGAAGCAUUUUUUCCACACCCCAUAAAUGUCAAGAGAGAGAGGGAGAGAGAGUCUUCUUUUCUUCAUAUUUUAAAUUGAUGUUUCUCCUUUCAUUGCAAGACAAGUAGAAUAAUAGUUUGAGAGCUUAAUUUGGCAGUUGAUAUGCCCUAACAGUUGUACCCAUUAAUUUCUACAUAUACUAGAGCAAUCAGCACUUCAGCAGUCU